rnacentral:rRNA from 1 species
GAUGAACGCUAGCGGCAGGCCUAAUACAUGCAAGUCGAACGGAAUCCAGAUCAAAUCUUUCUUUGGUCUGUUGAGAGUGGCGCACGGGUGCGUAACGCGUGAGCAACCUACCCUUGUCAGGGGGAUAGCCCGGCGAAAGUCGGAUUAAUACCGCAUGACAUCAUUGAGUGGCAUCUUUCGAUGAUCAAAGAUUUAUCGGACAAGGAUGGGCUCGCGUGACAUUAGCUAGUUGGUAAGGUAACGGCUUACCAGGGCUGCGAUGUCUAGGGGCUCUGAGAGGAGCAACCCCGACACUGGUACUACGACACGGACCAGACUGGUACGGGCGGCAGCAGUAAGGAAUAUUGGGCAAUGAACGGAAGUCUGAAACAGCCAUGCCGGGUGCAGGGGGACGGGCCUAUGAGUUGUAAACUGCUUUUAAACGGGAACAAACGACGGUACGUGUAACGGUCUGAGGGUACCGUAAGAAUAAGGAUCGGCUAACUACGUG